rnacentral:rRNA from 1 species
ACCACAACGGGUGGAGCUUGCGGUUUAAUUGGACUCAACGCCGGGCAGCUCACCGGAUAAGACAGCUGGAUGAUAGCCGGGCUGAAGACUCUGCUUGACUAGCUGAGAGGAGGUGCAUGGCCGUCGUCAGUUCGUACUGUGAAGCAUCCUGUUAAGUCAGGCAACGAGCGAGACCCACGCCAACAGUUGCCAGCAUGUCCUCCGGGAUGAUGGGGACACUGUUGGGACCGCCUCUGCUAAAGAGGAGGAAGGAAUGGGCAACGGUAGGUCAGCAUGCCCCGAAUUAUCCGGGCUACACGCGGGCUACAAUGGUCAGGACAAUGGGUAUCGACACCGAGAGGUGGAGGCAAUCUCCUAAACCUGUCCUUAGUUCGGAUUGUGGGCUGCAACUCGCCCACAUGAAGCUGGAAUCCGUAGUAAUCGCGUUUCAAAAUAGCGCGGUGAAUAUGUCCCUGCUCCUU